GACUUGGAUUCACUGGAUGGAGCUCCCGUUGGUUUAGAACGUAUAAAUGGCGGGAGUAUUUACAGACCGAUCUCUUGUCCGGGAUUACUAUUGGCAUCAUGCUCGUUCUGCAGCUUGCAGUUGGUCCAGUAGCAUUGGUUUCUCUACUGGUUUCUGAUGUCUUGGGUGGAAUUGUCAAUUCAUCCGAGGAAUUAUAUACUGAACUUGCGAUAUUAUUGGCACUCAUGGUUGGAAUAUUGGAAUGCUGAUGGGGCUAUUGAGGCAAUUGAAACAGAAGAUUUUUGU